rnacentral:rRNA from 1 species
AGUGAACGCUGGCGGUAGGCCUAACACAUGCAAGUCGAACGGCAGCACAGUAAGAGCUUGCUCUUACGGGUGGCGAGUGGCGGACGGGUGAGGAAUACAUCGGAAUCUACUUUUUCGUGGGGGAUAACGUAGGGAAACUUACGCUAAUACCGCAUACGACCUACGGGUGAAAGCAGGGGAUCUUCGGACCUUGCGCGAUUGAAUGAGCCGAUGUCGGAUUAGCUAGUUGGCGGGGUAAAGGCCCACCAAGGCGACGAUCCGUAGCUGGUCUGAGAGGAUGAUCAGCCACACUGGAACUGAGACACGGUCCAGACUCCUACGGGAGGCAGCAGUGGGGAAUAUUGGACAAUGGGCGCAAGCCUGAUCCAGCCAUACCGCGUGGGUGAAGAAGGCCUUCGGGUUGUAAAGCCCUUUUGUUGGGAAAGAAAGGCAGCAGGUUAAUACCCCGCUGUUCUGACGGUACCCAAGGAAUAAGCACCGGCUAACUUCGUG